rnacentral:rRNA from 1 species
UACGUAGGGGGCUAGCGUUGUCCGGAUUUAUUGGGCGUAAAGAGCGUGUAGGCGGCCAGGUAGGUCUGCUGUGAAAACUCGAGGCUCAACCUCGAGACGUCGGCGGAAACCAUCUGGCUAGAGUCCGGAAGAGGAGAGUGGAAUUCCUGGUGUAGCGGUGAAAUGCGCAGAUAUCAGGAAGAACACCCGUGGCGAAGGCGGCUCUCUGGGACGGUACUGACGCUGAGACGCGAGAGCGUGGGGAGCGAACAGG